AAGUCGUAACAAGGUUUCCGUAGGUGAACCUGCGGAAGGAUCAUUACCGAGUUCGUGCCCCCCGUGGGUAGAUCUCCCACCCCUGCGUACCCCUCCUUGCGUUGCUUUGGCAGGACGCCUUGCACGAGCCACUGGGGCCCGUCCCUGGUGUGUGCCUGCCAAGGGCAAAAUCACUCGGUGUCAUCUGUGUCGUCCGAGCCCUAGACAAAUACUAGAAAAACUUUCAACAACGGAUCUCUUGGCUCUGGCAUCGAUGAAGAACGCAGCGAAUUGCGAUAAGUAGUGUGAAUUGCAGAAUCUAGUGAAUCAUCGAAUCUUUGAACGCACAUUGCGCCCCCUGGCACUCCGGGGGGCAUGCCUGUUCGAGUGUCAUUACAACCCCUCAAGCCUAGCUUGGUCUUGGGUGUCGCCGGCCCUGGCGCCCCCUAAAUCUAGUGGUCCUCCGGCCACUACCCGUGCGUAGUAGACGCUGUCGCACCGGGUAGUGCCGCGCUGUAACCAGAACCGCCCCCUAUGCUCUUGACCUCGGAUCAGGUAGGAAUACCCGCUGAACUUAAGCAUAUCAAUAAGCGGAGGAAAAGAAACCAACAGGGAUUGCCCUAGUAACGGCGAGUGAAGCGGCAGCAGCUCAAAUUUGAAAUCUGGUCCUCGCGGGGGCCCGAGUUGUACUUUGGAGAAGAUGCUUCGGGCGUGGUACCGGUCUAAGUCCCUUGGAACAGGGCGUCACAGAGGGUGAGAAUCCCGUAUGCGACCGCGUGCCUACGCCCGUGUGAAGCUCUUUCGACGAGUCGAGUUGUUUGGGAAUGCAGCUCAAAAUGGGUGGUAUAUUUCAUCUAAAGCUAAAUAUGGGCCAGAGACCGAUAGCGCACAAGUAGAGUGAUCGAAAGAUGAAAAGCACUUUGGAAAGAGAGUCAAACAGUACGUGAAAUUGUUGAAAGGGAAGCGCUUGCAACCAGACUUAGGCGUGGUCGAUCCCCUGGGGCUCCCCCCGGUGCACUCGACUACGCCCAGGCCAGCGUCGGUCUCCGUGGCUGGAGAAAGGCCUAGGGAAUGUAGCUCCCUCGGGAGUGUUAUAGCCCUAGGCGGCACGCAGCCCACGGGGACCGAGGACCGCGCUCUGGCGAGGACGCUGGCGUAAUGGCUGCAAGCGACC
rnacentral:rRNA from 1 species